GGUUUCCAGUCCACAUAUUUAAUUGGCAUAUUUGUUCCUCUCUUACUUCUCAUCAUUGUUGCCAUUGUACUAUGGCGGAGGAGCAAAGCCCCUCGAACUACAAUAACUCAAAGAAAAACAAUUGAGGACAUGGACAAUGACGAUGACUGUUCCCCUUAUGCAGUGGGCCGGAGGGACGAUCCAAUGUACUCCCUCGCACAGCUGCCUGCACAGCAAACUGACUAUGCGGUUUGUGGUGAACCAGCCUACUCUGUCGUGCAACAACCUCCACAGCAAGCUGACCAUGGGGCCACUACAGAGCCAACAGGACACGAAAGAAUCACAAAGACAAACUCCAUAUAUGAACCCUCAUGCCCUUAGCGUCUUUUGACAGAGGUAAAUAUUGCUGAAAGAGAUGGUCCAAGCAAGCAACUUGUCCAACUAUAACCUGUUCUUUUACAGUUUUUUUUUGUUAAGCAUCGUAGUGUUUCGAGUAGUACAAAUGUUAGACAAGUGUGUUUAUUUGUUGUACAAAGAUGACAUUUUAAAAACAGUCAUUUAUUGUUAAAGUAUUUAUUUCUCUGUGUCACUGAACCUGUAGGCUGUUACUGAAUGUAAGAACACCACUAAGCAUGCUCAUGUGUCAACUAGAAUGCAUUUUUGGCUGACACUGACACACCCACUGUGUGAGCAGAGGGGAAACUGGUGGCUGUGUGGUGAGCUACACUAGCUCUGUGGUGUGGGUGGCUUUUGGAAAUGUGCGAAGACUCCUUCAGUAGUAGGCCUAGUCACAGCCAUCAGUUAGCAAUAUCUUCAUCAAUUAUCAGUUGUAAAGAAAUAGAUAAAGCAUUUUUAUUAAACUUUUACAUGGACUCUUUCAGUUUUGCAUUCAAUCCCUGGUCAGGGGAGUUUUAAGCCUUGGUAAUGUAUUGUGUUUGUGCACUGCAACUGUGAAGUUCAUGAACUUGGACUUAUACGCCAUGUGUAUUCUUGUC